UUGUUUUUAUACGACCGCAAAAUUUGAAAAAAUUUUCGUCGUAUAUUGCUAUCACGUUGGCGUCGGCGUCGUCGUCGUCGUCGUCGUCGUCGUCGUCCGAAUACUUUUAGUUUUCGCACUCUAACUUUAGUAAAAGUGAAUGGAAAUCUAUGAAAUUUUAACACAAGGUUUAUGACCACAAAAGGAAGGUUGGUAUUGAUUUUGGGAGUUUUGGUCCCAACAUUUUAGGAAUUAGGGGCCAAAAAGGGCCCAAAUAAGCAUUUUCUUGGUUUUCGCACUAUAACUUUAGUUUAAGUUAAUAGAAAUCUAUGAAAUUUUGACACAAGGUUUAUGACCACAAAAGAACGGUUGGGAUUGAUUUUGGGAGUUUUGGUUCUAACAGUUU
rnacentral:lncRNA from 1 species